rnacentral:rRNA from 1 species
UGGGGAAUAUUGCACAAUGGGCGCAAGCCUGAUGCAGCCAUGCCGCGUGUAUGAAGAAGGCCUUCGGGUUGUAAAGUACUUUCAGCGGGGAGGAAGGGAGUAAAGUUAAUACCUUUGCUCAUUGACGUUACCCGCAGAAGAAGCACCGGCUAACUCCGUGCCAGCAGCCGCGGUAAUACGGUGGGUGCAAGCGUUCAUCGGAAUUACUGGGCGUAAUGCGCACGCAGGCGGUUGGUUAAGUCAGAUGUGAAAUCACCGGGCUCAACCUGGGAACUGCAGCUGAUAGUGGCAAGCUGGAGGGUGGUAGAGGGGGGGAGAAGUCCAGGUGGAGCGGUGAAAUGCGUAGGGAUCUGGAGGAAUACCGGUGGCGAAGGAGGCCGCCUGGACGGAGACUGACGCUCAGGUGCGAAAGCGUGGGGAGCAAACAGG